rnacentral:tRNA from 1 species
AGGGGCAUAGCUCAGUGGUAGAGCGCGCACUUAAUGUGCAUGAAGUCCUGGGUUCCAUCCCCAGUGCUUCUG